rnacentral:pre_miRNA from 1 species
AUCCAUCCACAGGCUGGUUGGCCCCAGGCUGGGCUGGGCGAGUAUCUCUUCCGAGAGGCUCACACUCAAGGACUUUGGAGC